rnacentral:rRNA from 1 species
UCUAACCUUAAACUUUGAUUAUUCGCCAGAGUACUACGAGCUACAGCUUAAAACUCAAAGGACUUGGCGGUGCUCUAUAUCCCCCUAGAGGAGCCUGUUCUAUAAUCGAUACUCCACGAUAAACCUCACCAUCAUUUGCUAAAACAGCCUAUAUACCACCGUCUAGCUUACCCUCUAAAGGAAAAACAGUGAGCAAAAUAAUAAACACUAGAAAGACAGGUCAAGGUGUAGCCUAUAUGAUGGGAAGAAAUGGGCUACAUUUUUUUACCAAAAAACACAAAAGAAAGAAUGAAAAAUUUUCUGAAGGCGGAUUUAGUAGUAAAAAGAAAUUAUUAUGUUCUCUUUAAAUAGGCAAUAGAGCGCGCAC